rnacentral:rRNA from 1 species
UGCAAGUCGAACGAGACGAUUGAAAGCUUGCUUUUGAAAGUCGAGUGGCAAACGGGUGAGUAACGCGUAGACAACCUGCCUUUGAGAUGGGGACAACAGUUCGAAAGGACUGCUAAUACCGAAUGUUGUGUAUUUCCCACAUGGGAGAUACAUUAAAGAUGGCCUCUAUUUAUAAGCUAUCGCUCAAAGAUGGGUCUGCGUCUGAUUAGCUAGUUGGUGGGGUAAUGGCCUACCAAGGCAACGAUCAGUAGCCGGUCUGAGAGGAUGAACGGCCACAUUGGGACUGAGACACGGCCCAGACUCCUACGGGAGGCAGCAGUGGGGAAUCUUCCACAAUGGACGAAAGUCUGAUGGAGCAACGCCGCGUGAGUGAAGAAGGGUUUCGGCUCGUAAAGCUCUGUUGUCGGGGACGAACGUGAGAUACUUGAAUAAAGUGUCUCAAUGACGGUACCUGACGAGGAAGCCACGGCUAACUACGUGCCAGCAGCCGCGGUAAUACGUAGGUGGCAAGCGUUGUCCGGAAUUAUUGGGCGUAAAGGGAGCGCAGGCGGGAAGGUAAGUCGGUCUUAAAAGUGCGGGGCUCAACCCCGUGAUGGGAUCGAAACUAUCUUUCUUGAGUGCAGGAGA